rnacentral:lncRNA from 1 species
UAAAAAAUAAAAAUUCGGCAGAUAUGAAUACGGAUAUGGAUUUUGACUGUACCUGACCUAAACCCGAACUUGAUCCGAAUCCGAAUUUAUUUUACAUUAUAUAUAAUAUAUAUAUAAAAAUUUAAUAUUAUAUUUGAAUUUGUAUUUUAAAAUUUUAAAUUUAAUAUAAUAUACUUUGAAAUAUUGAAAAGAGAAAUAAUUGUUUCGCGUUUGGAUUCACGUUCGGGAUUCGGGUUCUUGGUUGGGUUCGGUUUUGGAUAUGGAUUUUUAAAAUCCGUCGUGUUCGGGUUCGGAUUUCGGGUUUGGAAUCGGGUUCAGAUUCGAAUUUUUGAAAAUCCGUUCCGUUUGACAUCCCUAUUCAA